ensembl:snoRNA
UCUGAGGUCUAUCCCAAUGGGGCUUCUGCAGAAACCACACAUUGUUGGAAACACCCCAUACAGUAACGCUUGUGGUUUGCUUGACUCACAGGACUGUUUCUUAGGUCUGUGGGAAAGAAUUACAAGACAGUU